GAUGAACGCUAGCUACAGGCUUAACACAUGCAAGUCGAGGGGCAGCAUGUCGGUUGCUUGCAACCGACGAUGGCGACCGGCGCACGGGUGAGUAACGCGUAUCCAACCUACCCCUUGUCCAUCGGAUAACCCCGUCGAAAGGCGGCCUAACACGAUAUGCGGUUCUCAGCAGGCAUCUAACGAGAACGAAAUGUGAAGGAGAAGGAUGGGGAUGCGUCUGAUUAGCUUGUUGGCGGGGUAACGGCCCACCAAGGCGACGAUCAGUAGGGGUUCUGAGAGGAAGGUCCCCCCACAUUGGAACUGAGACACGGUCCAAACUCCUACGGGAGCAGCAGUGAGGAAUAUUGGUCAAUGGGCGAGAGCCCUGAACCAGCCAAGUAGCGUGCAGGACGACGGCCCUAUGGGUUGUAAACUGCUUUUAUAAGGGAAUAAAGUGAGUCUCGUGAGACUUUUUGCAUGUACCUUAUGAAUAAGGACCGGCUAAUUCCGUGCCAGCAGCCGAC
rnacentral:rRNA from 1 species